UAGGGAAUAUUGGACAAUGGGCGCAAGCCUGAUCCAGCAAUGCCGCGUGUGUGAAGAAGGCCUGCGGGUUGUAAAGCACUUUCAGUGGGAAGGACAAGCUUGAGGCUAAUACCCUCGGGCCUCGACGUGCACCACAGAAGAAGCACCGGCCAACUCCGUGCCAGCAGCCGCGGUAAUACGGAGGGUGCAAGCGUUAAUCGGAAUUACUGGGCGUAAAGCGCACGCAGGUGGCUGGGUCAGUCGGAUGUGAAAUCCCCGGGCUUAACCUGGGAAUUGCAUUCGAAACUGCCCGGCUAGAGUAUGGGAGAGGGAAGUGGAAUUCCCGGUGUAGCGGUGAAAUGCAUAGAUAUCGGGAGGAACACCAGUGGCGAAGGCGGCUUCCUGGCCCAAUACUGACACUCAGGUGCGAAAGCGUGGGGAGCAAACAGG
rnacentral:rRNA from 1 species